rnacentral:rRNA from 1 species
UACGUAGGGGGCAAGCGUUGUCCGGAUUUAUUGGGCGUAAAGAGCGUGUAGGCGGUCAGGUAGGUCGGUUGUGAAAACUGGAGGCUCAACCUUCAGAGGUCGACCGAAAACCCCCCUGGCUAGAGUCCGGGAGAGGAGAGUGGAAUUCCUGGUGUAGCGGUGAAAUGCGCAGAUAUCAGGAGGAACACCGAUGGCGAAGGCAGCUCGCUGGGACGGUACUGACGCUGAGACGCGAAAGCGUGGGGAGCAAACAGG